AACGCACAUUGCGCCCCUUGGUAUUCCGAGGGGCAUGCCUGUUCGAGCGUCAUUAUCACCCCUCAAGCUCAGCUUGGUGUUGGGGCCUGCUGUAAAGGCAGCCCUUAAAAUCAGUGGCAGUGCUGUCAGGCUCUAAGCGUAGUAAAACCAUCGCUAUAGGGUCCUGGUGGUUAUUCGCCAAAACCCCCCAAUUUUUAAUGAUUGACCUCGGAUCAGGUAGGGAUACCCGCUGAACUUAA
rnacentral:misc_RNA from 1 species